CCUACGGGGGGCAGCAGUGAGGAAUAUUGGUCAAUGGUCGGGAGACUGAACCAGCCAAGCCGUGUGAGGGAUGAAGGUACAGAGUAUCGUAAACCUCUUUUGUCAGGGAACAAAGGCGGGGACGUGUCCCCGGAUGAGUGUACCUGAAGAAAAAGCAUCGGCUAACUCCGUGCCAGCAGCCGCGGUAAUACGGGGGAUGCGAGCGUUAUCCGGAUUUAUUGGGUUAAAAGGGUGCGCAGGCGGUCUGUUAAGUCAGAGGUAAAAGCCCGGGGCUCAACCGCGGCGCGCCGUUGAAACUGGCAGUCUCGAGUUGGAGAGAGGUAUGCGGAAUGCGCGGUGUAGCGGUGAAAUGCAUAGAUAUCGCGCAGAACUCCGAUUGCGAAGGCAGCAUGCCGGCUCCACACUGACGCUGAGGCACGAAAGCGUGGGUAUCGAACAGGAUUAGAUACCCCUGUAGUC
rnacentral:rRNA from 1 species